AGACUUAUAGUUUAAUUGGUUGAAAUAUACCACUUAUAACAGUGAUAUUGUAGGUUCGAGCCUACUAAGCCUA
rnacentral:tRNA from 1 species